rnacentral:tRNA from 1 species
UGGAUCACCUCCUAACAGGGAGACAACAACUGAUCGUGAUGUCUGAGUACUUUAUUCUCAGGCCAUGAUCCUGUCAUCUCGAAGGUCGAUCGGUACCUCAAUUUCAAGCCCAGUAACACUUGAGUAAUCAAGCUGUUGACUGAGAGUUUGAUCUUUAGUUCCUAAACGUUGUCUAGGUCACCCCAUAGAGGGUUCACUUCCUGGGCCAUUAGCUCAGGUGGUUAGAGCGCACCCCUGAUAAGGGUGAGGUCCCUGGUUCAAGUCCAGGAUGGCCCAUUCAAACCAUGAUCAACUCCAAUGCUUGCAGGUUCAUCCUGUGGGUGUGGGGAAGAGACAGGUCUUGGGGGUUUAGCUCAGUUGGUAGAGCGCCUGCUUUGCAAGCAGGAUGUCAGCGGUUCGAGUCCGCUAACCUCCACUAACAUCUGAACUCCAAACCAGGAAGCGAUUCUUGGGAGGUGACUAGACGUUGUUCGCUGAUCGAGUUCAGCCUCAGUGCAUUCCAAUCUUGGUUGCUCUGAUGCUGGGUUCAACACCACGGCUGAAAGGUUAGUGGUGUUUGAGAUUCAGCAGAACCUUGACAGCUGCAUAGGUGAGUCUGGAAAGACAAAGCAUCUCAUAGAGGCGAGAUGAUAAGAGCUGUAAAGCUUGAGUCAACUCGUGAUUCUAUUUUUGAGAGCCGAGACCUUCUAGCGUUCUUCCCAAUCCGCCGAGGUGCGGGGAGUCUGAUCCUUGCUUGCUAGCACGUCUGCUUUUGAUCGGGAAACCAAUCAAAGGCAACUCUGUUGCAAGCUUGAGAGAAUAGGCCUCAACAGCCUGAAGCGUUAGGAGGGUUAAUUGGUCAAGCUACAAAGGGCUCACGGUGGAUACCUUGGCACACAGAGGCGAUGAAGG